AAUAGAUGACGCCAUUGACUUUUUCUCACAUGUUUGACCAUUCAUCUUAUUCAAAAAAAUUAUGUAAUUAUAAUUUAUUUUGUUAUGAGUUGUUUUAUCACUUAUAGUACUUUUAAGUGUGAUUUAUAUCUUAUGCAUUUGCAUAAAUUUUUUAAAUAAGACGAAUGGUCAAACAUGUAAGAAAAAGUCAACGACGUCAUCUGUU
rnacentral:pre_miRNA from 1 species